UUUUAAACACCAAGGUGUGGCAGAGUCAGGGAGUGUCUCCGACAUGCUCCUCUAUUUAAACCCUCACACUCUGUCCUCUCCUCACUUCGGUGGACUCUGCUUUUGAAUCCAGGUUCUUGCUUCAGCACGGCUGCCUUUUGACAGAUCCUCUACACUCUAAAAAUGGGAGAUCAAAUGACUGCUUUAGAAGUGUCUGUGGUUACCAUGUUCGGCGUCUUCAUGAAGCACCAAAAUGCAGAAGGAAAACUGACCAAAGAGGAGUUCUCAACAAUGGUGAAGUCUGAACUGAGUCAUUUUUUCACGGACGACACAGAACUAUUCUCCAACAUCGACUUCGACAACGACGGGUUUGUGAGCUUCAAAGAGUUCGCCGUACUGGUUUGUACAAUUGCCGAAUGUCAAUACGAAGUCCUCCAAAAGGCCAUGGAGGAGCAGCAGAAAGCAUAAGAAUAACCUGUAAUGAACAUGUAAAGCACUAUUGAUGGGAAAUAAACCAUCUGACCUAUGUGGUUUCAUAUCACAAUAAUAAAUAAUAGUGUUUUUGUUCCAAUCUU